rnacentral:rRNA from 1 species
CGUGUAGGCGGUACAGCAAGUGGCGUGUGAAAUCCCGGAGCUCAACUCCGGAACUGCACGCCAAACUGCUGUUCUAGAGGACAGGAGGGGGAUGUGGAACUCUAGGUGUAGCGGUGAAAUGCGUAGAUAUCUAGAGGAACGCCGGUGGCGAAAGCGACAUCCUGGCCUGUAUCUGACGCUGAGGCGCGAAAGCGUGGGUAGCAAACA